GCCAGGCAGGGUGGCGCGUGCCUGUAGUCCCAGCUACUCGGGAGGCUGAGGUGGGAGGAUCGCUUGAGCCCAGGAGUUCUGGGCUGUAGUGCGCUCUGCUGAUCGGGUGUCUGUAUUAAAUUCAGCAUCAAUAUGAUAACCUCCCGGGAGCGGGGUUCCACCAGGUUGCCUAAGGAGGGGUGAACCGGCCCAGGUCAGAAACGGAGCAGGUCAAAACUCCUGUGCUCAUCAGUAGUGGGAUCGCACCUGUGAAUAGCCACUGCACUCCAGCCUGGGCAACAUAGCGAGACCCCAUCUCU
rnacentral:SRP_RNA from 1 species